rnacentral:lncRNA from 1 species
UAGGGAUGGUUCUGGUGCUAAGGUCCUGUUCCCAAAUCGGUUCUUGAUCUAUCAGUAAAGAUGCCAUGGGCCAAUUGCUUGGUGGAAGGAAUAGGCGAGACUUCUGGGUCCCCGCAGGUAACCUAGCAGUUGAAAGGAGGGGGAAAAGAGUUUUCACCGUGCUUCAGAGGGAGAAAAGCCAACCAGCCAUGUGAGAUCUCAGGCAGAGUGACCAGGCUGCAUCUGCAGGUGGGGGAUUGGGACUGUUGAGUUGGGACUGAAGUUGAGUACAGAUUUAGGGUGCUGAGCUGGGUGUCCUGGUAAGUGCACGUUAGCUGAGGCAGAUUGGAGGCAUCCAGUAGUUGGGCCAAAAAGGCAGGUUAAAAUUGAGCAAUUGUGUGUGUCUGUGAUGUUUUUCAUCCACACAUCCAAUGUUCCCAGAGUUUAGGCAGGGUACCAAAAGCUACUCACUACAUGGGAGCAUGCACAAAUGGUAUGGUGACUGGUGUGGACUAAGAAACUGUCCGCACUCUGACCAGAUGGCUCCUACCACACUGAGACUCAUCAGCUUGUCUCUGGGUCUCCUCUGUACCCGCUAGGACAAUGUCACUCAAUGGCCCAGGUUCACAGGGCUCUUCUCUAACAUUGUGUGGCACCCCACAGAGUAUGUGCAAUUAUUUUCUAGGUUCUCAUGUAGCCUAGGCUGUCCAACUAUGUAACCAGGGGUGAUCUUAAAUUCUGAUCUUUCUGCCUCUACCUCCCAGGGCUUGUGAUGACAGAGAAGCACAUGCCUAGUUCACGGUGCCGGGCACAGCCCAGGGCUUCCUGUGCUCAAGGCAGGCAUUCCAACAACCAAGUGCCCCACCCCCUUCUAACAGGCCUCUGCUUCUCUGUUGGUUUGGGGUGCCCAUGGGUAUGCUUGCUGGCCGAGCAGGGUAUACUUGUUCUGGGAGAAGAAAUACUCUGAGUAAAGACAGCCUAGUCUUUUGCAUAUGUCUAGCCCCCAACAGUUUUAGUGUGUGGAGGUGAAAGGACAAUUUCAGGGAGUCUUCCUUCCACCAUGUGCAUCCCCAGGGUUGAAUUCAGCUUCCAGUUUGGCAGCAAGCACCUUUACCUACUAGGCCCCUACUGAGGUUUUGUCUAAAGGAGCUCAAGAACUCCAGCCAGUUUCAGGGAUUCUGUGUUUUUUGUUUGUUUGUUUUUUGUUUUGUUUUUCUUUUUGUUUUUUUUUUUAAUGUUAAUAAAAUAUUUUUUACAG